CGCAAAUCAUCCAGGAGUAAAUCCCCCAGAACAAAACAAUGGAACUGUCCACUAAUGUGUAAAAAUGGUCAGGCCUCAAUAAUGUUUGCCUGGGCUAAGAAUGCUCCUCCAACUGUCAUGCCCAAAGGUCAUCAUCUAACUAAAGACCCUUAUAUAAUAUACAGUAAUAACUUGUAUUAAUAUUUUUAUUUUCUACACCUUUGAUUUGAUUGCUACUUG